rnacentral:pre_miRNA from 1 species
AGAAGAGCUGUUGGAUUAUAUGGUAAGUCUGUUUAACUUUUUGAAAAACUAGCAAACAUUUUGCUAAAUUGACUAUGCCAUUUUAUGUUUCAUAUGGCAAU